GCCGGGGUGGCGAAAUUGGUAUACGCGAGGGACUUAAAAUCCCUUGAGCGCAAGCUCGUACGGGUUCGAUUCCCGUCUCCGGCACCA
rnacentral:tRNA from 1 species